rnacentral:rRNA from 1 species
AUUGAACGCUGGCGGCAUGCUUUACACAUGCAAGUCGAACGGUAACAGGCCUUCGGGUGCUGACGAGUGGCGCACGGGUGAGUAAUGCAUCGGAACGUGCCCAGAGGUGGGGGAUAACGCAGCGAAAGCUGUGCUAAUACCGCAUGUGAUCUGAGGAUGAAAGCGGGGGACCAGGCAGCAAUGUUUGGCCUCGCGCCUUUGGAGCGGCCGAUGUCAGAUUAGGUAGUUGGUGGGGUAAAGGCCUACCAAGCCGACGAUCUGUAGCUGGUCGGAGAGGACGACCAGCCACACUGGGACUGAGACACGGCCCAGACUCCUACGGGAGGCAGCAGUGGGGAAUUUUGGACAAUGGGCGCAAGCCUGAUCCAGCAAUGCCGCGUGCGGGAAGAAGGCCUUCGGGUUGUAAACCGCUUUUGUACGGAACGAAAAGGCUCUGGCUAAUACCUGGGGCUGAUGACGGUACCGUAAGAAUAAGCACCGGCUAACUACGUG